UACGGAGGGUGCAAACGUUGCUCGGAAUCAUUGGGCGUAAAGCGCACGUAGGCGGUCGGCUAUGUCGGAUGUGAAAGCCUCGGGCUUAACCCGAGAAGGGCAUCCGAAACUGGCUGGCUUGAGUACGGAAGAGGGUCUCGGAAUUCCCGGUGUAGAGGUGAAAUUCGUAGAUAUCGGGAGGAACACCAGUGGCGAAGGCGGAGACCUGGGCCGAUACUGACGCUGAGGUGCGAAAGCGUGGGGAGCAAACGGG
rnacentral:rRNA from 1 species